rnacentral:rRNA from 1 species
CCUACGGGAGGCAGCAGUGGGGAAUAUUGGACAAUGGGGGGAACCCUGAUCCAGCCAUGCCGCGUGUGUGAAGAAGGCCCUCGGGUUGUAAAGCACUUUCAGUGAGGAAGAACGCCUGGUGGUUAAUACCCAUCAGGAAAGACAUCACUCACAGAAGAAGCUCCGGCUAACUCCGUGCCAGCAGCCGCGGUAAUACGGAGGGUGCGAGCGUUAAUCGGAAUUACUGGGCGUAAAGCGCGCGUAGGUGGCUUGAUAAGCCGGUUGUGAAAGCCCCGGGCUCAACCUGGGAACGGCAUCCGGAACUGUCAAGCUAGAGUGCAGGAGAGGAAGGUAGAAUUCCCGGUGUAGCGGUGAAAUGCGUAGAGAUCGGGAGGAAUACCAGUGGCGAAGGCGGCCUUCUGGACUGACACUGACACUGAGGUGCGAAAGCGUGGGUAGCAAACAGGAUUAGAUACCCUUGUAGUC